AAGAAAUGUUUCGUGUUCCAAGCCAAGUCAGCCAAAUCAAGUCCAAAACCCUAUUUUUCAACACACCACCAGAUGGCAGUACAAACCUAUUUGAAUGAAGCAGGAUUUUCACCAGCGAGCCAUUUUACUUCUGUCCUGCUUCCUUUAUGCUGGCUUGAUUGAGGUUAGGUCGAUACAGCAAAAUGAAGUGCGAUUGUGGUGCAGGCUCAUGGAUCAUUAAUGGAGCAGACACGUUGGCAUGGAUUUCAGCACACAGUCUCAACUAGGGUCCCUGAGGGGUUGGUGCAGAAGUUGGUGCCACAAAGCUAAAGCUACGCGUGUUAGCUGCUCAUCUUUGACUGACCUGCCUGAAAGGAAUCAUCAGGACACCUACCUGCAGACACCCAUGUGGGCCCAUGAUGGAAGGAGGCAGCCAAGCUCCUAUGCUAGUCCUUGCCUUUGUAAAAAAAUUAAAAAAUUUUAAAAAAAA